UCCUACGGGGGGUUGCAGUGGGGAAUAUUGCACAAUGGGUGAAAGCCUGAUGCAGAGACGCCGCGUGAGGGAUGACGGCCUUCGGGUUGUAAACCUCUUUCAGCAGGGAAGAAGCGAAAGUGACGGUACCUGCAGAAGAAGCGCCGGCUAAUUACGUGCCAGCAGCCGCGGUAAUACGUAGGGCGCAAGCGUUGUCCGGAAUUAUUGGGCGUAAAGAGCUCGUAGGCGGCUUGUCACGUCGGUUGUGAAAGCCCGGGGCUUAACCCCGGGUCUGCAGUCGAUACGGGCAGGCUAGAGUUUUUUAGGGGAGAUCGGAAUUCCUGGUGUAGCGG
rnacentral:rRNA from 1 species